CUACCAUAACCCUCAUCAAGCUUGACUCAUUUGACAGCACCAUCUAGCGUCAACAGCCCCAAACCCGCACGUUUCGAGCUGUUUCGAGCAGUUGUUCAAGCUCGACGCCCGUGUAUGACUUGCUCAUUGCGCACGCGCCCAGCUCGACCACUCUUGGGAGAAUGUGUCAAAACAACAAACACCCAGCGCGUGACGUCAAUGGCCUGCACUUUACCCUGUUGGUAUUGGUGCAAUCGCCGUUACUUUUGCGCCCGUGUUGGUUUCCGACCUCCGACGUUCUGCUUCCAUGUUGACAAACAUUAUGUUUUAGGCACGCAGUGACGGGUUUGGACAUGUCGUCGGGGAGAGCGGACGAGAGAGGACGUUUGAGACAACGCCAAAAGGGCCAAUCUCACACAGAAAAUCUGAAAUGCUCUCUCUCUCUCGCUAAACAGAAGGAAGCUGUCAAAGUUCGAUCGGGUUCAGUUCAGUUGGCAUCGUGUGCAGGUUCGGUUGCUCGGGACGAGUGUCGUGCGUUUUUGAUUAAGGCUUUUUGCUCUUGUUAGAAAAUAAUAAAACCAACUAACAACUGCAAAAUAUCGUACUUUUACCGCAAAGUACAUCAAGAUUUGGGAAAGGAACCUCGCGAAUCUCGCAUAAACAUCAGACACUUGAAAAGUAGGCUGUUUUUAUCACAUACAAAUCUUGUGCAGUUUUGCUGUGGCCAAGUAGGCGAGGAAACGUGUUCGCUUGUGUGAGUCGACCCAGCAGCAAGUCUCAGAACGCACCAGCGGCAGAUUCCAAGUUGAACUCCCGUCGGAACCGGAAGAAGAGAUCCGUGGCUCGUCGGUCGGUCGGUCGGUCGUUCCCGUCGCCGUCGCUGUGUCUGUGUGUGCUCCCAAGGGGAUUGGCCCGUACCCAAAGCUGCGUCACCGCGGAUGAAGUCCUGACCGGGGGAAAAUGGCCAUACUGGAAAAACUACGACGGAAAGUCGCAGGAAGGUGGUGAAAAUUUUGGUGGUGUCCUGAAAAAAGGGGACGAAGCAGGCGAGGACCAGAAGAAGCUGUGGCCUGCUGGAAUAGGGUGUGUUUGAAGGAUCCUUUGCGGGGUUACUCGGGAUCCUUGCGUGUUUGGGGAGGAGUUAUGGUCUAGGAUACCGGAAGACGAGAGUGAGGUCGUCGCCGCCUGCUACGAGUGCUUGAGAAUUCAAAGAAAUAGAGGGGAGUUGAAGUUGGAGCAGACGCGCGACAACGGCUGGAUUGAAGGUGUGGAGUGUUCACGGUGGGGUUAAACGACGAACCUUCCAAGGUGGGUUCUUUUUCCCUCUCUGAAGGGGUGUGUUGUGUGUAUCGAUUAAAGUGCCGCGCCGCGGCUGUCGAAGAAGGAAAAGUCCGCAAGAAGACCGGAGGAGGAGGGGGCGCCCUUUCCACAAAUACACAGCAGAGUGAGCGAGAGAGAGUCGAGUGCGCCCCGGGGCCAAGUUCCUCUUAACCCGGUGCCAAAGUGUCCACACACAGUCGGGAGUGCGUGUCCUGGGAAGUAAUUUGACGACGCGGAAGAAUCUCCCCGGGAAGAUGAAGUUUUUUCGAGUGAAAAAUCAAUGAAAAAAGUGGCACUUCCGUGAAAGAAGAAAAUCCCGUCCCGUGGCCAUGGAUCGUCUUUAGGAAGGAAGAAGAGUGUCCAUGUUUGUGAUCGGAGUCUGUGACCGGAGCUAGUCAGUCGUCGGCAGUGAGAGAAA